UACGUAGGUGGCAAGCGUUGUCCGGAUUUACUGGGCGUAAAGAGCGCGCAGGCGGUCGUUCAAGUCGCGUGUGAAAGCCCCCGGCUCAACUGGGGAGGGUCACGCGAUACUGAUCGACUCGAAGGCAGGAGAGGGAAGUGGAAUUCCUGGUGUAGCGGUGAAAUGCGCAGAUAUCAGGAGGAACACCGGUGGCGAAGGCGGCCUUCUGGACAGCCACUGACGCUGAGACGCGAAAGCGUGGGGAGCAAACGGG
rnacentral:rRNA from 1 species